ensembl:lncRNA
CGCCCCCCUAGUAUUCCCAUUCACUGGCUAUUGACCACAAAACAAAAUCACGGUCAAUCUCAAAAACGGCUCGUUUGUCGUAAUUAUGCUUAUAGAUAUAUGUUUGUCUCAUUUACAGUUAAAAAAAAAAAAAAAAACAGCCAAGGUUGCAUUUUGACAAUAGCUAUCCUUUAAGAACUGUAUAUUUUACAGUUAAGAAAUCAUUUAUCAUUAGAUCUGUUGUUGGCAGCACGUUUUGUUCAUUUCUGUGCAUUUUGCUCAAGCACUGAUCAAACUUUGUCCAUUUUUUGCUGCAGAGGGGAUCCUGUCAGUCCAAAGUGAACUCCUGAUGGACAUUGAAGUACUCCUGCAGAGCUUGUAUCUUCGACACCAUGCGCAUUAGAAACUCCACUGAGUCCUUUCCUUCACCAAGGCAGGACCCAGUGACUCAUUACUGUUGAUAGGUCAGGGGCAGUGCAGGCCCGUGGCAGGCCACCUGAGCUGCAAUGAUGUUGCCGCUGCAGCCGUGGCAGGCUGGCGGAGCUGCAGUGCCACCACCACUGGACACGUGGCAGGCCACCACAACCAUUUCGCCGCUGCUGCCUGACCCAUGGCUGCCUGCCGGUGCUGCAACGCCGCCACCCCUGGGCCUGUGGUUGGCCACCUGAACUUUCUCACUGUUGGACUUGUGUCGGGCCGCCAACAUCACCGCCUGCCGGCUUGGCCAACUGGACUGUUUCAAACCCCCGCCAGGAGCGCGGCCAGGUAUUUGAACUAUUAAACUGGGACUUGUUUUUUGUUUUUUGGCUGGAGUGUUUCUGGCCCUCCAUCCUGUACCUCCCACCACCCGACCCGGGUUGGUUGGCCUUGCUGCUGGUUUUGUUUUCGGGUUGUUGUUGUUUUUUGGGGGCCUCAGGAGCCAGCCCUUAGAGGGGGGGUACUGUCAUGGCCUGGGUCUGGUGACCCAGAGCUCAUGUAUUUCUUGUAUAUGUUUUUCCGUAUGUUAUGUUUUUGGUGGUUUUCUCUCCCUUUGUCCUUUCUCCCUGUGUUCUCCCGGAUGUUUUGGGGUCGCUGAGGGGACUGCGACCCGGAAGUGUUCCCGCACUGGAGGCUGCCGAACCUGCCGCUCAUUAGCCUUCCCCAGCUGCAGCUGAUAGCCUCAUGAGGAGCGUCUUAUUUAAGAAGGUGGCGGAGCUCCAGUCGACGCGGGAUUAUACUAAGUCGAACCUGAGUCAGGAACGUUGUCACAAGGGGAAUCAUGGAGUGGAAUCGGGUUUUAGGAGUUGUCACCUUUUCACUGUUAUGGACACGUGCACUGUGUGGGCUUCAUAGAGGAAUCGCCACAGGAGUCACAGUGCUGGAAUUGAAACGAACGACACGGAGAGAUGGAAGGAGAGACGUCACUAGUUCACGAGAGCUGUGUGGACACACGAGGGGAGCACUGAAGGGACUUUGCACUGUGGAUAACUGUGGAUUGGCUUCACUGUAAAUAAAGACACUGUUCAACUU